rfam:Salmo salar isolate Sally breed double haploid chromosome ssa01, whole genome shotgun sequence.
UGCACUCACUACUGUAAGUCACUCUGGAUAAGAGUGUCUGCUAAAUGGGUGUAG